rnacentral:rRNA from 1 species
UACGUAGGGUGCGAGCGUUGUCCGGAAUUAUUGGGCGUAAAGGGUGCGUAGGCGGUCUGACAAGUCUGAUGUGAAAUCUAUGGGCUCAACCCAUAGUCUGCAUCGGAAACUGUCGGGCUGGAGUAUGGGAGAGGUGAGUGGAAUUUCCGGUGUAGCGGUGAAAUGCGUAGAUAUCGGAAGGAACACCUGUGGCGAAAGCGGCUCACUGGACCAUUACUGACGCUGAUGCACGAAAGCUAGGGGAGCAAACAGG